rnacentral:misc_RNA from 1 species
GAUGAAGAACGCAGCGAAAUGCGAUACGUAAUGUGAAUUGCAGAAUUCAGUGAAUCAUCGAAUCUUUGAACGCACAUUGCGCCCGCCAGCACUCUGGCGGGCAUGCCUGUUCGAGCGUCAUUUCAACCAUCAAGCCCCCAGGGGCUUGUGCUGGGGCCCUGCGGCUGCCCGCAGGCCCUGAAAACCAGUGGCGGGCUCGCUAGUCACACCGAGCGCAGUAGCACAUCUCGCUCAGGGCGUGCGGCGGGCUCCUGCCGUGAAACCCCCCACUGUAACCCCAAAGGUUGACCUCGGAUCAGGUAGGAAUACCCGCUGAACUUAAGCAUAUCAAUAAGCGGAGGA